rnacentral:rRNA from 1 species
CCUACGGGUGGCAGCAGUGGGGAAUAUUGGUCAAUGGGCGCGAGCCUGAACCAGCCAAGUAGCGUGAAGGAUGACUGCCCUACGGGUUGUAAACUUCUUUUAUCAAGGAAUAAAGUGAGGCACGUGUGCCUUUUUGUAUGUACCUUAAGAAUAAGGAUCGGCUAAAUCCGUGCCCGCAGCCGCGGUAAUACGGAGGAUCCGAGCGUUAUCCGGGUUUAUUGGGUUUAAAGGGCGCGUAGAUGGGUGGUUAAGGCAGUUGGGAAAGUUUGCGGCUCAACCGUAAAAGUGCAUUUGAUACUGGUAGUCUUGAGUACAGUUGAGGUAGGCGGAAUUCGUGGUGUAGCGGUGAAAUGCUUAGAUAUCACGAAGAACUCCGAUUGCGAAGGCAGCUUACUAAACUGCCACUGACAUUGAUGCUCGAAAGUGUGGGUAUCAAACAGGAUUAGAUACCCUAGUAGUC